rnacentral:rRNA from 1 species
UCGCCUGUUUAUCAAAAACAUCACCUCUAGCAUCACCAGUAUUAGAGGUCUAAUCUGCCCACUGAUAUUUUAAAGGGCCGCGGUAUCUUGACCGUGCAAAGGUAGCAUAAUAAUUAGUUUUUUAAUUGAGGACUAGAAUGAAUGAUUGAACGAGGUGUUAACUGUCUCAAUUUAAAUGAAAUUAUAAUUUAACUUUUAAGUUAAAAGGCUUAAAUAUAAUUAAAGGACGAGAAGACCCUAUAGAGCUUUAUAUUUAUAUAAUAGUUUUUUUAUAGUUUAUUUUAAAUUUUAUUAAAAUAAAUAUUUUGUUGGGGUGACAAGAAGAUUUAUUAAACUCUUUUUAUUUUUUUAACAAAAAUUAUUGAAUGUUUGAUCCAGUUUUACUGAUUAUAAGACUAAGUUACCUUAGGGAUAACAGCGUAAUUUUUUUUAAGAGUUCAUAUCGACAAAAAAGAUUGCGACCUCGAUGUUGGAUUAAGAGUUAUUUUUGGGUGUAGAAGUUCAAAGUUUAGGUCUGUUCGACCUUUAAAUUCUUACAUGAUCUGAGUUCAGACCGGA